AUGAACGCUGGCGGCGUGCCUAAUACAUGCAAGUCGAGCGAACAGACGAGGAGCUUGCUCCUCUGACGUUAGCGGCGGACGGGUGAGUAACACGUGGAUAACCUACCUAUAAGACUGGGAUAACUUCGGGAAACCGGAGCUAAUACCGGAUAAUAUAUUGAACCGCAUGGUUCAAUAGUGAAAGACGGUUUUGCUGUCACUUAUAGAUGGAUCCGCGCCGCAUUAGCUAGUUGGUAAGGUAACGGCUUACCAAGGCAACGAUGCGUAGCCGACCUGAGAGGGUGAUCGGCCACACUGGAACUGAGACACGGUCCAGACUCCUACGGGAGGCAGCAGUAGGGAAUCUUCCGAAAUGGGCGAAAGCCUGACGGAGCAACGCCGCGUGAGUGAUGAAGGUCUUCGGAUCGUAAAACUCUGUUAUUAGGGAAGAACAAAUGUGUAAGUAACUAUGCACGUCUUGACGGUACCUAAUCAGAAAGCCACGGCUAACUACGUG
rnacentral:rRNA from 1 species